rnacentral:rRNA from 1 species
UACAGAGGUGGCAAGCGUUGUUCGGAAUUACUGGGCGUAAAGGGCGCGUAGGCGGCCUUGUAAGUCCUGUGUGAAAUCCCCCGGCUCAACUGGGGAACUGCACAGGAGACUGCUUGGCUUGAGUUCGGGAGAGGGAAGCGGAAUUCCGGGUGUAGCGGUGAAAUGCGUAGAUAUCCGGAAGAACACCAGUGGCGAAGGCGGCUCACUGGUCCGGUACUGACGCUGAGGUGCGAAAGCGUGGGGAGCAAACAGG